rnacentral:tRNA from 1 species
GGAGAUUUAGCUUAGCGGCAUAAGCGCCUGCCUUGCAAGUAGGCAGUCAUGAGUUCAAUCCCUA